GGCAUGGUGGCUCAGUGGUAAGAUCGCCCGCCUCAUGAACGGGAGGUCGUGGGUUCGAACCCCGGCCGAGUCG
rnacentral:tRNA from 1 species